CGGGUGAGUAACGCGUGGGUAACCUGCCCUUAAGUCUGGGAUACCAUUUGGAAACAGAUGCUAAUACCGGAUAAAAGCUACUUUCGCAUGAAAGAAGUUUAAAAGGCGGCGUAAGCUGUCGCUAAAGGAUGGACCUGCGAUGCAUUAGCUAGUUGGUAAGGUAACGGCUUACCAAGGCGAUGAUGCAUAGCCGAGUUGAGAGACUGAUCGGCCACAUUGGGACUGAGACACGGCCCAAACUCCUACGGGAGGCAGCAGCG
rnacentral:rRNA from 1 species